GUGAGGAAUAUUGCGCAAUGGAGGCAACUCUGACGCAGCCAUGCCGCGUGCAGGAAGAAGGCGCUACGCGUUGUAAACUGCUUUUAACCGGGAAGAAACCCCAGGACGUGUCCUGGGUUGACGGUACCGGAGGAAUAAGCACCGGCUAACUUCGUGCCAGCAGCCGCGGUAAUACGAAGGGUGCAAGCGUUAUCCGGAUUCAUUGGGUUUAAAGGGUGCGUAGGCGGAGCGUUAAGUCAGUGGUGAAAUCCUGCAGCUUAACUGUAGACUUGCCAUUGAUACUGGCGCUCUUGAGUGCGCUUGAAGUGGGCGGAAUGUGCCGUGUAGCGGUGAAAUGCUUAGAUAUGGCACAGAACACCAAUUGCGAAGGCAGCUCACUAAGGCGAUACUGACGCUGAGACACGAAAGCGUGGGGAUCGAACAGGAUUAGAUACCUAGUAGUCC
rnacentral:rRNA from 1 species